GUCUCGAUAGCUCAGUGGUAGAGCGGAAGAUUGCAGUAAUCGCAAGAUAUCUUCAGGUCAGGUGUUCGAACCACCUUCGGGACU